rnacentral:rRNA from 1 species
GGGCCCGCACAAGCGGUGGAGCAUGUGGUUUAAUUCGACGCAACGCGAAGAACCUUACCAGGGCUUGACAUCCUCUGACGUCCAUAGAGAUAUGGAGUUCGGUCUUCGGACUGACAGAGAGACAGGUGGUGCAUGGUUGUCGUCAGCUCGUGUCGUGAGAUGUUGGGUUAAGUCCCGCAACGAGCGCAACCCUUAUUCUUAGUUGCCAGCAUUAAGUUGGGCACUCUAAGGAGACUGCCGGUGACAAACCGGAGGAAGGUGGGGAUGACGUCAAAUCAUCAUGCCCUUUAUGUCCUGGGCUACACACGUGCUACAAUGGCCUGUACAGAGGGUAGCGAAGCUGCGAAGCGGAGCCAAUCCCAAAAAGCAGGUCUCAGUUCGGAUUGCAGGCUGCAACUCGCCUGCAUGAAGUCGGAAUCGCUAGUAAUCGCGAAUCAGCAUGUCGCGGUGAAUACGUUCCCGGGCCUU